rnacentral:lncRNA from 1 species
AUACGAUCGAUGAAGAUGACCACCGCCUCGUCACGUGCUCUCCACCGACUCCGAUCGUUUCCGUUGCUAAGUUACCAAAUCCGGAGCCUAUUGUCACCGAAUCGCUUCCUGAGAAAGACGAGGAGAUUGUGAAAUCCGUUAUCGACGGAGUGAUUCCAUCGUACUCGCUCGAAUCUCGUCUCGGUGAUUGCAAAAGAGCGGCGUCGAUUCGGCGGGAGGCGUUGCAGAGAGUCACCGGGAGAUCGAUGGAAGGAUUACCGUUGGAUGGAUUUGAUUAUGAAUCGAUUUUGGGGCAAUGCUGUGAGAUGCCUGUAGGAUAUAUUCAGAUUCCUGUGGGGAUUGCUGGACCAUUGUUGCUUGAUGGUUACGAGUACUCUGUUCCUAUGGCUACAACCGAAGGUUGUUUGGUUGCUAGCACUAACAGAGGCUGCAAAGCCAUGUAUAUCUCUGGUGGAGCCACCAGUACGGUUCUCAAGGACGGUAUGACUCGAGCACCUGUCGUUCGGUUCGCAUCCGCGAGACGAGCUUCCGAGCUUAAGUUUUUCUUGGAGAAUCCAGAGAACUUUGAUACUCUGACAGUAGUCUUCAACAGGUUCAUCUUCUUAACCAAUAUUUUCCCGUUUGAUUUGAUUUUGUUGACUUUUAAUGCGUUUGACGUCGUCUGGUGGGCAUAAAUAAAAGAUAUAUUUCCGAGUGAGAAGACUUGUUCAACUAGAUUUGAUUAGAAGCUUUUACAUCGAAUUCGUGUUAUAAAAUUGCAUCGAAAGUAUUUGCAAGGGGAUUUACUGACGAAGAAGUGGAUAUUUGGAUGCAGGUCGAGUAGAUUCGCAAGAUUGCAAAGUGUUAAAUGCACAAUCGCGGGGAAGAAUGCUUAUGUAAGGUUCUGUUGUAGUACUGGUGAUGCUAUGGGGAUGAAUAUGGUAUCUAAAGGUGUGCAGAAUGUUCUCGAAUAUCUUACCGAUGAUUUUCCCGACAUGGAUGUCAUUGGAAUCUCUGGUGAGUUUCCUUCUCUGUGUGAUUGAUUUCACUUAAAACUCUUAUUUUGUUUGAUGGUGCUAUCUCGUGAACUUCUGAGAAUCUUUAUUUUCCUUCUUUAUCUUUUGGAUUCACAUUUAUUUAUCUUAUUUCUUCAGGUAAUUUUUGUUCGGACAAGAAACCUGCUGCUGUGAACUGGAUUGAGGGACGUGGCAAAUCAGUUGUUUGUGAGGCUGUAAUCAAAGGAGAGAUCGUGAACAAGGUCUUAAAAACGAGCGUGGCUGCUUUGGUCGAGCUCAAUAUGCUCAAGAAUCUUGCGGGCUCUGCUGUUGCAGGCUCUCUAGGUGGGUUCAACGCUCAUGCCAGUAACAUAGUCUCUGCUGUGUUCAUAGCUACUGGCCAAGAUCCAGCUCAAAACGUGGAGAGCUCUCAAUGCAUCACCAUGAUGGAAGCUAUUAACGACGGCAAAGAUAUCCAUAUCUCAGUCACUAUGCCAUCUAUCGAGGUAAACUGAUCAAAUCUCUUUCUCUCUGAGCACACUUGUAAAGUCUCUUGGAAAUUUCAGAGAGUUUGAUUAUGGGUUUUGUGGUUUGGAUUAUCAGGUGGGGACAGUGGGAGGAGGAACACAGCUUGCAUCUCAAUCAGCGUGUUUAAACCUGCUCGGAGUUAAAGGAGCGAGCAAGGAGUCGCCGGGAAUGAACUCAAGGAGGCUAGCGACGAUAGUGGCCGGAGCAGUUUUAGCGGGAGAGUUAUCUCUAAUGUCAGCAAUUGCAGCUGGACAGCUUGUGAGAAGUCACAUGAAAUACAACAGAUCCAGCCGAGACAUCUCUGGAGCAACGACAACAUCAACAACAUGAUAUGAAUCUCUCUGGCUCAAAACUCACAAAGAAGGACAACAAUCCAAAACAAGGGCAAGGCAUUUUACAACUCAUUCGCUCCAAAAUCGCUGGUGGACAGAUUUAAGCCAUGUGCGUGUGCGUUGCCCUUUUUGUUAAAUAAAAAAAAACUAUUUGUUUUGUUUGUUUGACUUGAAAUCUUUUUUUGGAUUGAGGAUCGAGA